GACGAGCCACCCAAACGUUAUUCGGAAUCACUGGGCUUAAAGCGUGCGUAGGCGGCCUGCAAAGUUGGGUGUGAAAUCCCUCGGCUUAACCGAGGAAUUGCGCCCAAAACUAGUAGGCUUGAGGGAGAUAGAGGUAAGCGGAACUGAUGGUGGAGCGGUGAAAUGUGUUGAUAUCAUCAGGAACACCGGUGGCGAAGGCGGCUUACUGGGUCUUUACUGACGCUGAGGCACGAAAGCCAGGGUAGCGAACGGG
rnacentral:rRNA from 1 species